AUGCCAAACGGGAAUUUGGACACGUGGUUACACACAAAAUCUGCUGGUGAAGGUCCAAGGAUUUUGAGCUUAGGGCAAAGAAUAAGCAUCGCUGUUAAUAUCGCUGAUGCAUUGGCCUACUUGCACCAUGAUAUCACAAGAUCCAUUGUCCAUUGCGAUUUGAAACCCAGCAAUAUCCUCCUGGACACUGAUAUGAAUGCAUAUUUGGGUGACUUUGGCAUUGCAAACCUCGUUCGUAACUCAAAGUCAACAUCAAGUUCAGCCUCAACUUCAGAUAGCUCAAUUGGAUUGAAGGGAACUAUAGGAUAUAUUGCUCCAGAGUAUGCUCAAACUGGACAAGCAUCAACCUAUGGGGACGUUUACAGUUUUGGAAUAGUUCUUCUAGAGAUGCUGAUAGGUAAAAGACCAACAGACCCUAUGUUUGACAAUGAACUCAACAAUGUCAAUUUUGUGGAGACGAACUCUCCAGAUCAUAUACUGCAUAUCAUCGAUGAUCAUCUCCAAGAAGUGUGCAAGGGAUUCACUCAUACGACAGUGGAAGCAGGAAACAUAGUAUAUCAGUGGUUGGUGCCCCUUGUGCAAGUAGCUCUGUCAUGCACACGUCUGUUCCCAAGAGAGCGAAUGAACAUGAGAGAAGUAGCCAUGAAAUUGGAGGCAGCCAGGACAUCAUAUAUAUGUUGGAGCAAACAAGCCAGAGCAAGCUAUGCUACACUAGAGUGA
rnacentral:rRNA from 1 species